UUUACUUGUUUUUUUUGUUGACUCGGAGUUGCCACUAAAAUCAUGAGUUUGGGGUUGGCGCCCCCCCGGCGGGCACCCGGCCACGGGGGCCGGGCCGGGGACCCCUCCCAGGGGCCGCCCGCCGAGGGAACUCGACAAGAGGUAUGUUCACAGUGGGUUUACAGAGGUAGAACUGUAUAAUGAUCCCUCCGCUGGUUCACCAACGGAGA
rnacentral:misc_RNA from 1 species